UUAAAAGGAUUUAUGAUAAGGUUAACACAAUUUCUUUAUUUGUUUUACUAAGUUAAUAACAGCGUAAUAUAUAAUAAUUAAACCAUCUGAAAUGGGCAAAUGCUUUUAUGGAAACUUUUGAAAGCAGCUCUUUAAACACUGGACAUCUGUUGCUACGGAGUACAACAGAAAUUCCUGAGAGGUCACCCGCGCGUAAUAAAUCUGGAUUUACGUAAAGUUCUGCGAUAGUAACUUUAGAUGGAAACAGCAAUGUAAAUCCACAAACUAGUACAAGUGAAUGGUGAUUCUAAAAAAUCCUUGAAUUUACUCAUCAAGAUGCCACAGACAAAAUUGUUUAUUGCAAUAAAUUCUUUUUCACGCUAUAAUUAUGAAUGCAAGAUAUUGAAAACGUCUACUGAAUUAUAUUAAUUUAAUAUCAAUCUUUAUCGAAGAUUAUAAAGAAAGUUAUCAAGUUAUCAAGUUAUUUGUUUAAAUAUCUUAUUGCUAAAAAUAAUACUGCUCAGAAUGGAGAUGACUGGUUAAAAAUACAAAUAAUCAUUCAUGUGGUAAAAAAAUACGAAAUUACUUUCGAAAAGUACCAAUAAUAUUAUUACUAUAACAUUCAGGAAGGGAAUGAGAAAGUUACAGCGAGACUGGCAAUAAAUCAUGUUAAGUUCCAGGUGAGUUCAAGAAGACUUACGGUACAACGUAAACUUGUUAGAACGAAAUAUAUGAAGGUGUAAGGGACGAAAGCAGUUGUGGGGCUAGCGGAAUAGCAGUGGACCGAUAACCGCAAAUGAGAAUGGUACAGGAAACUACGCUGUUCCACGCUUCCCUGGUGACCGAUGAGGCCAAUUCUGCGAACCACAUUUGCUUCAUUUGAAGCUGUUGUUCUAAACUUUUCUGUUAAUUGAAACGAAGAAAUUGGAAUACUCCUAGCGGUUAUUUUAAGUUUCUGGCCAGUUUAAGCCGCGCAAAAACUAUAGCUGCACCGUGGCGCGAGUAUUCCGGGAAAUCGAGGGCCUGUGGAUUAUAUACGUCUACGGUAUGUACAAGUUACUCACAUCUAAGUACAAACGUUAUCAUUUCUGAGAGUAACGAAGACGCGGGGGAGCGUCACCAAGGGAAUUACUGAAUGGAGCAGUGAUGCUCGAUCCUUUCGAGGGGAAUGAUCCUAGGAAAAAGAGUACGAUGUGGGAUUUAAGCUGGAGAUCUUCGGAAGUUGGGAUUUGCUGGCUGACCACUUUACAACUGCGCCAUCACCGACCCUCCAAUAUCUUGGUCUUCCAGACUUCUUUCUUCUCUCUUGGUGCCUCGAUCCAAUAUUAUAAAGAGCAAUAAAUGAGAACGAUUUUCCUUUGCUCUUUAGAUGCUUUUAAAAGCAGAAAUUUUAUUUCAUCUAACUCAAUGUUUUAGAUACCGAUCAGAAAACGUAACAAUAUUUCUAGUAUUAAUAAAACGUCACAAACUUCUAAUUCAGUAAUAAUGAAAACCAAAGGGAUUUUUAAAUAUUCAUAUUUAAAUAUUAAUUUUAAAUGAAACUAUUAAAUGAAAAAAUCACAAAUCUUAAUUAAUUUGAUUAAAAUCGUCAAAUCCGUUGAAUUCUGCAUCGUCUUCAGUAAUUGGUAAUGCCUCCUAAAACUCAUAGCAACCUCCAUCUUUUAAGGAGCAAAAUUAACAAUUAAUCUUGUUCUUUGAGAGCCUUGACGAGUAUUUUUCUUAUAUAAAAGUUAGCUAUAAUACUUGUUAUUCUGCAUCGUCUUCAGUAAUUGGUAAUGCCUCCUAAAACUCAUAGCAACCUCCAUCUUUUAAGGAGCAAAAUUAACAAUUAAUCUUGUUCUUUGAGAGCUUUGUCGAGUAUUUUUCUUGUAUAAAAGUUAGCUAUAAUACUUGUACUUUCAACCUUUGAUCUUUCUCUCUUUCUCCUUCUUACAACAAGGGUUUGAAAUAGAGCCUUGUCAUCAAGAGUAUUUAAAUUCAGUAACAUCAAAGAGAUUGUAGAUGAAAGUAAUUAUCUCUACAUAUGUAUAAUAAAAAUUGGGUAUUUUUAUGCGUUGCAAGAAGACGUACUUGAUGUACCAAUAAUAUUAUUUUUGCUAUCUUCUGUAUCUAUAUUUAUACUAAUUUCGACAUCGCGUGAAUGUAACCCUUGCUAUGAAAUAACUGCUAAUUGCCUGUUGAAAGAGAUCUCAAUUGUCGUGGUUCGUAAAAGGAAAACCAUAAAUUAUGCUCAGCAUUCUCCAGAAUUAUAUUCUUGAUAACGUCAGACAAAACUUAUGCUUCGGUUGUAUCGUUAAUCUUCUAGCCACAGUACUUAUUCGUGUUGGGCGCAUAAUCUACUCCUAAUCUACAAUAUUCUCAAUGUCCGAAUGAGCUUGUUGCAUCUAUUACAGAUCCGUAUCAAAAGGCAAUAUUUUAUCGUAUAUUCACAGUCGUUGCGUAUCUUGAUGACCAAAGUUCACGAAGAUACGUGAACAGAAAGAAUAAAAUCAUGAAGCUAAUUAGAGAAAUAAUUUAUUUUUUGCUCACGUGUACUGUUUCAUUUUGUACUUUUCUCGGAAAAACGGUGGAGGUAAAUUAAAAUAUUUUGGAAGUAUACAUAUACAAAUCAUGUAUGUACACUCAGAUCUGGGCACUUUUGAAAAAAUAUUAUUCGAAAUAUUAUUUCAAGUUACGUAUUAUUUUUGCUUUAUAAUUACUUGAAAUAACUGUGAUAUUUAAAAAUGAUUUCAGGUGAAAUAAUUACCCAAAUUCAACAAGAAAUAAAAAUAAAUAUAAUAAGUAAUUAAAUUUCUCGUUUAUUUUAUUUGAAAUGACGUUUGAUAAAACGAGAUUACAGUAUUAUUCGAGCAAGACUCUUUCACAGGGAGGGAAUUAACUUAACAAAAUACAUUUUCUAUAAUAUAUUUUACAUUAUAAACCAACCAUACAUCAUCAUAAUAAUAUCUUAUAUUCUUAAGCCUAAGCGUGUUUUAACCUAUAUUCUCGUUUAUAUACUUCCUUCGUAUUUAUACUUUGUUUAUUUCUUCAUAUUAUUUAUAUUUAUAUAUAUAUAUUUUUGUUUUUAUUUAUAUUCAUCAUUAUUUAUAAUAUAUUUUAUAUGCUAUGUUAUGUAUAUAUAUAAUAUCAUACAUAUUUAUUUUUCACGCACAUCCCAGGGUGUCUCGCGUUUCCAUUUUUUUUUUUUAUAUCGUGUGAGAAUUGUCUUUUGGAGGUAUCUGUCUCCUUUUUCCCCAUUUUCUUCCCUAUGUGCACGUGCACGUGUGCCACUAUAUCUAGGAAAAUGUUGCUUGUGUGAUCCGUGUACAAAGUGUACGUGUACGUGUUCCGCCUUCUCAUACUUUGUGUGUGUGUGUGUGUGUGUGUGUGUGUGUGUGUGUGUGU